GCCAGGUGCAGUGGGGUGCUCCUGUAAUCCCAGCUACUUGGGAGGUUGAGGCAGGAGGAUUGAAAGUCCGAGGCCAGCCUGGGCAACUUAGCAAGACCUUGUCUUGA
rnacentral:sRNA from 1 species